AAGCUUAUUCAAAGAUACCAACUCAACUAACUGACAAGGCCAGACUUCAAUGUUCUGGAGACUGUAAAUGCAAAAAACCCGAAGUUGAAGCAUUCUAUCAAACCCUAGAUUACACGCGUCCAGUCGCUGUCUUCGCAUCUUCUCCUUCCCGCUGCUCUUCUCCAUCUCCGCGAUCCCCAUUUCCCUCAAUUGUCUGGAUCUGACUUCGGAGACUCCUUAUACAAGUGUGCUUUGGCUCUUUGGUUGGUGUCGUUGAUCGAGCAUUGGGAGAGCAUCAACGCAGUCUUCAACUCCUCAGGCAUGUAUAAAACACUGGAAUAGGGUUUAUUUGUGGGUCACUAAUGUUUUAAAUUGCUGAUUUGAUUGCAAAGGCAAAAGAAGGAGGUGUAUGUGAUUGCUGAUUUCUGGUGUUGUUGUUUUUAUGUAUGGCUUGAGUUCAUGAAUGUAUCCUAAUUGUUAUUUUGAAUUUUUAUGUAACAGUUGAUGGAUUGAAGGUUUUUAAGGUGUACACAAAUGGAUCAUAGAUGAUGUGGCUCUAAGAGUUUCAUGUACAUGUCUUAUGUCAGUUUAUCAGGAGGGCAAAUAAAAUUUGGUGGCACAGUCAAGCAGGAGCUUCUCAUAUUGUGUAAACAUACAUUUGCCUUAGAAAAAUAAAUGGCUAACUCAAUUUUGAUGUAGAUGUGCAAUACCACACACUAUGACUUUUCUUGGCUCAUCUCGUGCACCGCCUGUUGGGACAAGAAGCAUGCGAUAAAAUGCAAACUACUCAACUUUUAUGAUGCAAAAUUUGAACUGUUUUACUUAUUAUUACUUUUUAGUACUGAAUUUGAGUAAAUUGUGUUCAUUUCUUAUUUUAAAGAAAAUCGCCUUAAGUUAUGUAAUUUGAUAUGGUUUGUGACAAUAUUUCCAUCUAUUAUUUUA